UACGAAGGGGGCUAGCGUUGCUCGGAAUUACUGGGCGUAAAGGGCGCGUAGGCGGAUGUUUAAGUCGGGGGUGAAAGCCCGGGGCUCAACCUCGGAACUGCCUUCGAUACUGGAGAGCUCGAGUCCGGGAGAGGUGAGUGGAACUGCGAGUGUAGAGGUGAAAUUCGUAGAUAUUCGCAAGAACACCAGUGGCGAAGGCGGCUCACUGGCCCGGUACUGACGCUGAGGUGCGAAAGCGUGGGGAGCAAACAGG
rnacentral:rRNA from 1 species